rnacentral:rRNA from 1 species
UACGGAGGGGGCUAGCGUUGUUCGGAAUUACUGGGCGUAAAGCGCACGUAGGCGGCUUUGUAAGUUAGAGGUGAAAGCCCAGGGCUUAACCCUGGAAUUGCCUUUAAGACUGCAUCGCUAGAAUCGUGGAGAGGUGAGUGGAAUUCCGAGUGUAGAGGUGAAAUUCGUAGAUAUUCGGGAAGAACACCAGUGGCGAAGGCGACUCACUGGACACGUAUUGACGCUGAGGUG